UACGUAGGGGGCGAGCGUUGUCCGGAAUUAUUGGGCGUAAAGAGCUCGUAGGCGGCUUAGUAAGUCGGCGGUGAAAUACCGAGGCUCAACCUCGGCACUGCCGUCGAUACUGCUAUGGCUAGAGUUUGGUAGAGGAGAACGGAAUUCCCGGUGUAGCGGUGGAAUGCGCAGAUAUCGGGAAGAACACCCGUGGCGAAAGCGGCUCUCUGGAACGGUACUGACGCUGAGACGCGAAAGCGUGGGGAGCGAACAGG
rnacentral:rRNA from 1 species